GGGGGCGAUUGGCUUCGACAAAGCAAGAGAAUCAUUUUUCAGCAUGUGCAGAAUCCGGGUCACCUGCAUAAACUUCCCGGACACAACACAGAUGCCAACUACGGCAACGUUGCUUACGCUUAAGAUGUAAGCCGUUCCACCUGAGAUUCGCCUGCCGUAUCAGGAUGGAACGUCAUUAAGGUGGGCUGAUCCCUACGGUUGCCCGAGACGUGGGGACGCAAACUUUCGGGCUGGUCACGAAACUUGGCUGUUUGGCACCAACUUCGAGGUGAGAUAAGAAAGCUAAACUAAACAUGUAGAACCGGAAUGAACCUCUGUUUUGGACGGGAGUUCGACUCUCCCCGCCUCCACUU
rnacentral:tmRNA from 1 species